AAGACAUUUACGAGGAACUUGGUAAGUUCGGUGAGAUCGAGAGCCUUAAUGUCUGUGAUAAUCUCGCAGACCACAUGAUUGGCAAUGUCUACGUUCAGUUUAGGGAGGAGGACCAGGCUGCUGCCGCACUCCAAGCGUUGCAAGGACGGUUCUACUCUGGUCGACCCAUUAUCGCAGAUUUUUCUCCUGUGACUGAUUUCCGCGAAGCAACG
rnacentral:misc_RNA from 1 species